rnacentral:lncRNA from 1 species
AUGUGGUAUUUGGGGCUUCUUUCUGCACGAUGCUUGACAGGAGCUGUUAAAGCUCACAGAAACCACCAUGUACCAUCCUUCUGGUUCCAUGACUCUUUGCUAUUGCACUGGGAUCACAAGCAGAUGCUCCUGUUCUUUCUCCACUCCUACCAGCGCAGUGGAAAGACCCAAGAGGAAAAACUCGCAGUACUAAGAACCAUGACAAAGAAAACAGAAGACCAAUGGAGAUUGUACUGGGACAAAAGUUCGGCUCCUGACUCCCCUCAACACUGAUGCCAGAAUCAUUAUCCAUAUGGAUUUCAUUAAUUUUCCUAAUGUGAAAUGCUAAUGUCUAAGACACCUAAUUACCUGGCCUAUUUAAAAUAAAAACGUAAGCAUAUAAUCAGCUAGGUAAUGAAUUUUUUUAUGGAGAGAAAGUAUGUUGCUUUAGGAGAACAACACCAACAUUACAGGCAUUUUAAAAUCUUGUGUUAAGACUGCUUUUCUCAUUUGACACCUUCCUAAUUCCAGUUACAAACUUUCCCUAAUGAGUAACAACACUAAAACCUGAUGGGUCAAGACUAACUAAGUGUGUAAGACUGGUCUUUCUCUCCCCCCACAAAGGAAUUUUAUGCUCACCAACCGAUGGGGUGGGGAGCAGUGUGGAAAUGUUAAAACUUUAGUUAGUUGCUGUUUUAAAGUAAUGACAAAUAUGUGACCAAAAGAGAUUUGUGAACUUGUUUACAGUCGGUUUAGUUACUAACAUGUCCCUGCUCAUGCCGUGUUCUCUAAAAUGCCUUCUUUUUUCACUAUCCACAUCCAACUAUUCUUCAGGAUGCUCAUUCUCCAAAACACAGCUCAUGUCUCUCCUCAGUCAUCUCAUACCUGUUCAGGCCAUGGCUUAUUAUCCACCUGGGCAAGCUGUUCAGCACAUUUUACACCCCACCUUUUCAAGAGGCUAUGAAGGUUAGAAAACUCUUGUGGGUAGUGAUAUG